UACGAAGGGGGCUAGCGUUGCCCGGAAUCACUGGGCGUAAAGCGCACGUAGGCGGAUUGCUAAGUCAGGGGUGAAAUCCUGGAGCUCAACUCCAGAACUGCCUUUGAUACUGGCGAUCUCGAGUCCGGGAGAGGUGAGUGGAACUGCGAGUGUAGAGGUGAAAUUCGUAGAUAUUCGCAAGAACACCAGUGGCGAAGGGCGGCUCACUGGCCCGGACUGACGCUGAGACGCGAAAGCGUGGGGAGCA
rnacentral:rRNA from 1 species